rnacentral:tRNA from 11 species
GUGUAGUGUAGCUGGUUAUCACGUUAGUCUUACAAACUAAAAGUCUCCAGUUCAAAUCUG